GAUGAACGCUGGCGGCGUGCCUAAUACAUGCAAGUCGAGCGAACAGACGAGGAGCUUGCUCCUCUGACGUUAGCGGCGGACGGGUGAGUAACACGUGGAUAACCUACCUAUAAUACUGGUAUAACUUCGGGAAACCGGAGCUAAUACCGGAUAAUAUAUUGAACCGCAUGGUUCAAUAGUGAAAGACGGUUUUGCUGUCACUUAUAGAUGGUUCCGCGCCGCAUUAGCUAGUUGUUAAGGUAACGGCUUACCAAGGCGACGAUGCGUAGCCGACCUGAGAGGGUGAUCGGCCACACUGGAACUGAGACACGGUCCAGACUCCUACGGGAGGCAGCAGUAGGGAAUCUUCCGCAAUGGGCGAAAGCCUGACGGAGCAACGCCGCGUGAGUGAUGAAGGUCUUCGGAUCGUAAAACUCUGUUAUUAGGGAAGAACAAAUGUGUAAGUAACUAUGCACGUCUUGACGGUACCUAAUCAGAAAGCCACGGCUAACUACGUG
rnacentral:rRNA from 1 species